CUUGAUUGAUUCAAUUGUGAUUCUUGGAUAAUUUUGGUUUCUUGGUUGAUUAGGUUAGAGGAUUUUGAAUAUGGUUGGAUUCAAAUUGUGAUUGAAUCAAUGGCUUCAUGACUUUUUUAGGUGCCUAGAGUCAUUUUUGUAAGAGAUGUAGAUUAUCCAAUGUCGUAAAUCAAAUAAG
rnacentral:pre_miRNA from 1 species